rnacentral:rRNA from 1 species
UACGUAGGGUGCGAGCGUUGUCCGGAAUUAUUGGGCGUAAAGAGCUUGUAGGUGGCUCGUUGCGUCGGGAGUGAAAACCUGCGGCUUAACCGCAGGCCUGCUUCCGAUACGGGCGAGCUAGAGUUCGGCAGGGGAGACUGGAAUUCCUGGUGUAGCGGUGGAAUGCGCAGAUAUCAGGAGGAACACCGGUGGCGAAGGCGGGUCUCUGGGCCGAUGACUGACGUGGAGGAGCGAAAGCGUGGGGAGCGAACAGG